rnacentral:rRNA from 1 species
CACGGAGGGUGCAAGCGUUAUCCGGAUUCACUGGGUUUAAAGGGUGCGUAGGCGGCCAGGUAAGUCAGUGGUGAAAUCUCUGGGCUUAACCCAGAAACUGCCGUUGAUACUAUCUGUCUUGAAUAUCAUGGAGGUAAGCGGAAUAUGUCAUGUAGCGGUGAAAUGCUUAGAUAUGACAUAGAACACCGAUAGCGAAGGCAGCUUACUACAUGGAGAUUGACGCUGAGGCACGAAAGCGUGGGGAGCAAACAGG